CACAGAGUUAGCCGGUGCUUUUUCUUUGGGUUAAAUCAAGACCACAGAGUAUUAAUCCGUAGCUUUUUGUCCCCACUAAAAGUGCUUUACAACCCGCAGGCCUUCUUCACACACGCGGCGUCGCUGGAUCAGGGUUGCCCCCAUUGUCCAAUAUUCCCCACUGCUGCCUCCCGUAGGAGUCUGGGCCGUGUCUCAGUCCCAGUGUGGCUGGUCGUCCUCUCAGACCAGCUACGGAUCGUCGCCUUGGUAGGCCUUUACCCCACCAACUAGCUAAUCCGACUUCGGCUCAUCUCAUAGCGCAAGGUCUUGCGAUCCCCUGCUUUCAACCGUAGUUCGUAUGCGGUAUUAGCCUGAGUUUCCCCAGGUUAUUCCCCACUACGAGGAAGAUUCCGAAGCAUUACUCACCCGUUCGCCGCUCGUCAGCACGUAUUGCUACGCCUGCUACCGCUCGACUUGCAUGUGUUAAGCACGCCGCCAGCGUUCAAUCUGAGCCAGGAUCAAACUCU
rnacentral:rRNA from 1 species